UUGCCAUGUUGGCCAGGCUGGUCUUGAACCCCUGACCUCAGGUGAUCCACCCGCCUCGGCCUCCCAAAGUGCCAGCUACUUCCCUACUCUAGUCAGUGGGCGCCUGCCUUUCUCGACACUUUCCUUCCUCACCUCCUCCACCCCUCCCUCACCCAAUCCAAAGGGCACUAACAACACUAGGUGGAGAGAAAUGCCCCAGGAGAGCUAACACUAAGGACUUCAUCCACGUCUUCUGAAGUCUGCCUGGACUUUGUGAAAGCCUAAUGUUUACUGACAAUGGCCACCAUUAUUUCUGUUUUAUGGGAGAGGUCUGUUGGCAAAGAGUCGGCCACCCAGAUUUACCACAUUUCUCUGCAGAACACUCUUUUGUUCAAUAUAAGCAGAGACCUUCCACCGGGGGCAGGAUUUGUGGUGAGUCCAAUACCCCUUUGUACUUGAUGAGUUUCUGGAUGCCUUUUGAGUCCAGCUCAUGUGGGUGCUAUUUGCAGUUAAAUUAAAAUGUUUGGGAAUGGGAUGGAAGGGAGAGAGAGGGAGUUAUAAGAAAGGAGGUGUAGAAUGCUGUCUUAGCCAAGACUUAAGACAAUUGGCACAAAGAUCCCGCCUAGUGGAGGAGAGCUGUGAAAUUGUGGCCUCUACCAAUGCUGAGUUUAGCCUUGAUACCCUCUCCCCUCCCUCCCUCCUUCCCACCCACAGCCUUCUUUUUGCCCUGGGCCUUUUCUCUUUCAUCCUAUUUCCUUGUCUUGGCAUGAAACCUGGGCCCCUGGCUGUCAGUACCUUCAGAGUGUUUGAAACUACCAGCUGAAACCUUUCUCCUAACAAGAUAAGAACCUUCUGCUGGUGCCUUCUGAAAACCCAGAUAGGACUGAGAACUGACCUGUUUAACUCAUCAACUCCUUAUUAGAUACCUGCAGUGAGCCAAGGACCAGGCUAGUUCCUGUGAUGCUGAAGAUGUUGAAGGGAAGCCCAUAACAUUACAACGUUGACCAAUCCUCCAGAAAAGAAGCUCUAACAGAGGACCCUGGCUGUCUACGGGGUUGGGUAAGGAUUCUUCCAGGAAGAGACACUUUUCACACACUCAAAGGUUGAUAGGUUGAUUACUGAUACUUUCAGAGAUAGGCUGGAGUCUUUUUUUUUUUUUUUUUUUUUUGAGAUUGGGUCCCCCUCUGUCGCCCAGGCUGGAGUGCAGUGGCGCGAUCUCGGCUCACUGCAACCUCCACCUCCCGGGUUCAGGUGAUUCUCCUGCCUCAGCCUCCUGAGUAGCUGGGAUUACAGGCCCGUGCCACCAUGCUCGGCUAAUUAUUUUGUAUUUUUAAUAGAGAUGGGGUUUUGCCAUGUUGGCCAGGCUAGUCUUGAGCUCCUGACCUCAGGUGAUCCACCUGCCUUGGCCUCCCAACAUGUUGAGAUUACAGGGGUGAGCCACUGUGCCUGGCCCAGGCUGGAAUCUUAUUGUCCAGAAGUGCAGACAUUUACUGUGCCCUGCAAGGUGCCUAGCUGGGUACAGUGCCGAACAAAGGAAGCACGUAGUGAGUGCUUUAAGAAACUCUUGACAAGUGGAGUCUUAGUGAACCCACCCUAAAGGCCAGGCUGAGUGUUCCAGAACACCAGUUCCCAGGCUCUUUUGGGAACUUGAAGCUAGGAAUCUAUUUAGACAACAACCAUCCAUGCCAUUUCUGUGCCCACCACCAUAGAGCAGCUCACUGUCCUCCUCCCUCUUUCCAAACCAUUAAUCCCUGCAGAGCCCUGCCAGCAUUUCCCUCUUAGAGUCUUCCGGCCUUGGCCAAAGACCCAGCUCCACUGAUCCACCCAUUGUUUCAUUCUGGUAAUACACUUUCUUGGUUUGGGCAAAGGUAGCCUUUUAGUGCCAAACAUUACAGAGAAGGAGAUCCGCAGAUGAUAUGGUCUGGCUCUUUGCCUCUGUCACAAUUACAGCUUCCAAACAGAAAGGAAGUUUUCUGGUUUAGAAGGGUCCACCAGAUGGCGAAGGGUCCUGGGGCUGAAGCUUCUUAGUUAAAGUAUGGGGUUGUAUCAGUGUCCUAGGACUGCUGUAACAAAUUACCACAAAAUGAGUAGCUCUAAACAAUGGAACUGUGUUCUGUCACACUUCUGGAAGGCAGAAGUCAAAUCAAGGCAUCAGCAGGCUGCAUCUCCUCUGAGGCUUUAGGGGAGGAUCUGGCCUUGCCUCUUCCAGUCUCUGGUGGCUGCCGGCAAUCCUUGGCUUCCUAGGCUUGUGGCAGCAUCACUCCCAUUUCUGCCACUGUGGUCACAUGGCCUCCUCCUCUUCUGUCUCUUAAAAAGACACUUACCAUUGCAUGUAGGGCCCACCCGGGUAAUCCAGGAUGAUCUCAUCUUAAGAUCCUUAAUUACAACUGCAAAGACCCCUUUUCAAAAUAAGGUAACAUUCACAGCUUCAGGGGGCUUGGACGUGGCUACAUCUUUUUGGUGGGCCACCAUUCAACCCAGUAUAGGGGUCGAGAAGCAGAUUUCUGCUGAAGCCCUUGCAUUUUGUACCCACUUAGGAAUUCCAUGAGGAGUGAAAGCUGGAAGCACAGUGUGUGGUCAUCUGGGAGGGAACGCAAGGAUUUAGGCAUCCCAAGAUAUACCUGUACCUGUUGUGAAGUUUCUGUUUAGAUGCAGAUCUGACCAUUUCACUCCCUACUUCAGACUCUUUAAUGAUUUCCCAUUACCCUAAGGAUCAAGCUCGACACCUUAGCGAGGCUUACAAACCUUUUGUGGUUUGGCCUCAUUUCUCGCCUCUGCCCCAGCCCUGUGCCAUCCAGGGAGACUGACUUGUAGUUCUCCCUGCAGCUCCCGUUCACUGCCUCUGGGCCUUCGGCCCCUAUGUUACCUCUCCCUGGAACACUCUUUCUCCUCUUAGCCCAACUGGAGACUGAUGAGCUCACUUAAAGCUGGCAACAUUGGUUUCUAUCUCCGUGGAGCUUCCCCUCGCUCUGCCUUCAGUUUACAAACCCAGUCCUGGCGCCUGGAAGCCCUCUGUGUGCCGGUCACCAGCAGAGUGGCUACAUUCUUCCAGUGUUGUCAACGCAGCUGACUUUGGUCAUCCAUUCACCUGCUGUGCACCAGGACCUCCCUGCGCUAGGCCUGUGGCACAGCAGGGAGCAAGACAGAUUCCUGUGUCCUUGCUGUAGGAUGACUUCAGUGGAAUUACAGGGUGCCGACAACUCCGAUGGCUCACUGUUAGGGAAAGAGGGAUUAACCCAGAUCUAGAAGGGGAGAUCAGGAAAUAUUUCUGUGUCUGAUUUAGCCAGGACAGGGGGUGAAGCUUGAGGUGAGGUGAAGAGCAGGCACUCCAGGUUGAAAGCACAGCAUGUGUGAAGGCUGAGAACACACAGAGAACAGAACUUGCGAAAAUAACAGAUCGUGAUACAAUUAAAACAGGGUGGUGUGCAAAUGAAUAGGGAGCUUCUCUAGACUGGGUAGCCCCAAAAGGUCUGCCAGAAGAGAUGCUAUUUAGUCUGAAGCCUGGAUCGUGAUGACAGUCCCCCUGUGAAGGUGCAGGGAGAGUGUUUUGUGCAGAGGAAACAGCUGGUACAAGAGGCAAAGAUGCGAAUGAGCUCGAAGAGUUUGAGGUACAGAUAAAAGGCUGGUGUGGCUGCUGCGUGGUGGGGGCGAGGGUGAGGAGGAGUACAGGAUGCAGGUGAGAGAAGCAGGCAGGGGUCAGAGCCUGUAGGGCUCUGGAGGGUGGGGGCAGGGGGACAGAGGGUGAUGGAUGUGAUGGACAGAGGGUGAUGGAGUGCUUUUAAGGAAGACCUGUGGGGCCUCACCCAGCCCCUUCCAGGAAACCCCAUUCUGAGGAUGGGGGCACAGGCCAGGGGAGGCUGCAGGGAGAGCCUGGGGUCCCAGGUACCCUUAGCCUCCAUCCUGUUCUCUCAGAGGUCAUGGAUUGCGGUCAGCGGGACUGGAAAUAUGGAUCUGUUUUGUUUUGGCAAAACUUUCUCUGUACCUACUACAUAAGCACUCCUACCCUGGGGUAGAUUGCACCAGGCCAGGUGGUGCAGGUGCAGGGCUGCUCUCUUUCUCUCUGUCUCACAUACACACACACACACACUCUCACACAUACACACACCCUGCGCCACCUCAUGCACACUAACCUCUGUGAGCUGGGCCUGUUGAGGCCCUCCUGAAGCUACCUGGGAGCUCAAGUCCCACAGAUCCUUGGAGUCUCAAGGUUGUUGGCAGUAUUGGACCUUCCCAGAGUAGGGCAAAGGUAGGGAAGAUGUAGCAGAGGUAUUGACUCAGACAGACUUUUGUUCUAACCCUGUCUCUACCGCUUACUGUCUAUAUGACUUUGGACAAGAGACUGAGCCUCUCUGAGACUUAGUUUGGUGUAUUUAGCUCAGAUGUAGUUAGUUGAGUUCACUGGGAGCACAUUCUAGCCUCCCCCUAGGCUGAGUGCAAAAGUUAACUCUGCUGAUGGUCUAGAGCAGCCAGCAUUAGAUGCUAGCUCGGCACAGCAAUCUUUUUUUUUUUUUUUUUUUUUUUUUUGAGACGGAGUCUCACUCUGUCUCCCAGGCUAGAGUGCAGUGGCGCAAUCUUGGCUCACUGCAACCUCCGCCUCCCAGGUUCAAGCGAUUCUCCUGCCUCAGCCUCCCUAGUAGCUGGGACUACAGGCGCGUGCCGCCACGCCCAGUUAAUUUUUUGUAUUUUUAGUAGAGACAAGGUUUCAUCGUGUUAGUCAGGAUGGUCUCGAUCUCCUGACCUUGUGAUCCACCCGCCUCAGCCUCCCAAAGUGCUGGGAUUACAGGCGUGAGCCACCGCGCCCAGCUCCAGCAAACAUCUUAAAAUGGAAUAUUAGACAUCCACAUUAUUAAGUCUUGUGGGCAUUGCCUUUGGUUUUUAAUAUAUUUGAAAAAAAUUUUUAAUUAAAAAUAGAGAUGAGGUCUCACUAUAUUGCCCAGGCUGGUCUUGAACUCCUGAGCUCAAGUGAUCCUCCCACCUCGGCCUCCCAAAGUGCUGGGAUUACAGGUGUGAGCCACCAUGUCCAGUUGGGCAUUGCCUCUGGGCAUUGCCACAGGGAUUUUUCACAGCCAACUCAGGAUCACCACCCUGUUGGUUGUAGGAUGACCAGCUGACUUGGUUUGCUUGGGACUGAGGGGUUUCCUAGGACAUGAAGCUUUCACUGGCAAAACCAGGCAAAUCAGGAUGAAUUAGUAAUGCCAGCUAGUGGAAGCUUACAGCAUCCUUACUAAUUGCAAUACAGUUAUUUCCUGCUUUGCAGAAUGACCCCUUUCCCAUUGGCUAUGGUAUUGGUGGGUCCUCUUCUCCCCAGGCCAAGGAUGGACUUCUAACCCAAACCAGAAUACUCAACCUCUUUCCCUUGAUUUGAAUCUCAACACAAAACCUAAACAGACUGUCCAAUAACUCCUGCUACCUGGAUCCUUGGAGGUGUUUGGCUUUUUGUUGUCCUCUUAGUUUGCUCUUCAGCCUUUCCUUUGACUCCACGAGGUGCCCCUCACAGCUUUCCAGUAAAUUUCUUUGUUGGCCGGGCGUGGUGGCUCACGCCUGCAAUCCCAGAGCUUUGGGAGGCUGAGGUGGGAGGAUUGCCUGAGCUCAGGAGUUUGAGACUAGCUUGGGCAACAUAGCAAGACCCUAUCUCUGUUUUUUAAAGAAAUUAGCCAGGUGUGGUGGCUCAUGGCUGUAGGCCUAGCUACUUGGGAGGCUGAGGCAGGAGGAUUGCUUGAGCCCAGUAGUACAAGGCUGCAGUGAGCUAUGAUCACUGAGCUCCAGCCUGGGUGAUAGAGUAAGAACCUGGCUCUCUAAAAAUUUAAAAGCAAAAAGAAAAUUACUUCAGUUAGUUGCAACCAGUCCCUUUCCCCAUUCUCUAUACAGCAGUGAGAACUUUCUGCAUGGGGACAAUCCAGAUCCCUGCCACACAUCUGACUUCUUUGUAAACAUGUGACCAUCACCUGUGAUCAUAUCUUUAACCCUCACACUCCCCCAUCCUAACCUUCAUGAAAUGCUGCUCAUGCUCUGAGCUAGUAUCUCUCAUCUAACCCCUACCCCACCUCCAGGAGACCUCGCCUGUUACAGUCUAUGCCUGAUUUAGCUGUUGUCCUUUUCUGCAGUAGAGUCCCCAGGAGUUCUUCAGGGACAGGCAGUCAAGGACAGCUGGUGCCCAGAGCCUCCCUGGCUUGCCCACUGGGCAGCUCCAGGGACAACUUGACCUGCCCAAUCAAAGCCAAAGGUCAGAACAGGAGGCAGAACCUCGCCCGGCCCUCUUCAAACUCCAAGGGAAAGCCUGUUCCUUGGAUCCUUUCAGAAAUAAAAACAAAAUGACAUCAGGUGUUAUUUAGUGUUAUUUUGCUGACUUUCACUCAAUCUGUUCUCCCAGGAUCUCAGAUUUGCUGACCAGCAGGACCAGAUGGCACCUUUUGCAGGACUAUCUCAUUGUUUCUGCCUUUGCAUGUGCCCUGAGCAGCCUAAGAAACAACUUUUCUUCUUCUGACUGUGCAUUGUUUCUAGUUUUUUUUUUUUCUUCCUAUGACUCUGCUGAGGGCAUGUGACACCCAAUCCUGGCUUACGUUUCAUAUCCUUGAGAUGACAGCUGACUUUGUUGUCCAGAAGGAGGGAGAGUGAGGGUAAGGGCUGGGGAGGGAAGGGAAAGUACCAGAAAAUGGAAGGGGCUAGAUUGCUCCAGGUUCAUAACUCUGAUUGCAACCACCCUCUUUCUCAGCCUUUCUGGAAUGUGGCUGUUUAUGCUCCAUGUACCCCUGGGAACUUCCUGAUUGCCCAACAAAGAUUCAAUACCCCAGGCUUUGGAGUCAUUAGACUGGAGUUUGAAUCCCAGGUUCCUGACUCAAGUGGGCAUGUUAUGUAACCUGUCUGAGACUCAGUUUCCUCAUCUGAAAAUGUGGCCAAUAAUAGUCUAGACCUCCCAGAGUGGUGGAGAUUAAAAGAGGCAAUGACUGUAGAGUGCUUAGCACCCAAUCAAUGUCAACUAUUAGGAGAGACAUUCUCCUUCAUUUGUUUCACAAGGAAAAUGCAAGGAGAUGCCACUCCAGCAAGCAUUUCUGGAAUCCUGCUGGCGAGGUCAUAAUGACCAAAAUUAUGGGCUUUAGAAUGGUCCUCAUUUAGCCUGUACUAUUUAUAAUGAAUAGGAAGGCAAAUUACUUAACCUCUCUACACACAAGUUUUCUCAUCUGUAAAAUGGAGAUGGUAAAACCUACUCUAUAGGAUUAUUGUGAAGGUUGAGUUAAAUAAAAAAUGUCUAAAAUGCUUUAUACAGGACCGUGAUCCCUUACCCCGAACCCAUGGGAUUUUGCAAGACUUUUUGGAUUCCAGAAAGUUUCCAUCUCUCCAUUCGUGAGCUCCUUGAAGGCAGAGAACACUUGGCUUUUCUUCCUAUACCUCCAGUCCCUAAUGCAGGGACAUGAGAGAUGCCCAUUUGUGUUUGAUGAAUGAAUGAGUGAAUAAAUGAAUGAAUGAGUGCCUGGAGAUCAGAGUACAUGGGAUGAGUGUUCGGAGUUCUACAGACUCAGGAAGCCCCAGCUGACAUUCCAAGAAGAAGGAGACACGAAGGUGAGGGGAUGCCAUGCAGUUAGCGUCACAUGAAGAAAAACAAAAUUUAAGGUAUCAUCCUUAGAAGACGGAGGGAUGACAGUUUCAAGGAGGAUUUGUUCAUCAGAUGCUGGGAAGGAAUUUCAACAGGUAAAACUGCAUAGUGCAUAGGUUUAUAAGCAUGAACAAGCAUGUCAGCUAUGUAUUUAGUAGGUGCUCAUGAUUUGUGUCAAGCAUUGUUCUAAGUGCCUUGUAAGCAUUAAGCCAUUUAAAUUCUUAUAACAAUUGCAUGAAACAUUUAACCAUUACUAUGUCUAUUUUACAGAUGAGGAAACUGAAGAGCAGAGAGGUUAAGUACCCCCCUACCCUGCCCCCCAGGGGACACAACCUGUAAGUGACACCGUGAGGCUUUUAACCCAAAGAGUUUGGUUCCAGAAGUCUGUCUUGCUGCCUUCAAGCCAGCCCUCGCUCUGCUGCUGGUGCUAACCUAAGGACUUGAUACCUUUUUUAAGGCCCUCCUGAGAGGGAGGUAUGAUUCUCCUCCAUUUUCAGAUGAGAAAGCUGAGGCUCCAAGAGGUUGCCAAAGUUCAGCUAGCUGACAAGUGGCAGAGCCAGGAUCUACAGUCACAGCCAUGCUCACUGUGUCCUGUGUCUUCUGACACUCACGGCUGAGCUCUAAGCCUGGGUCACCUCCUCUGCCCCUCUCUCCACAGCUCUGGAACCUCAGCCAAGGCCCAGCAGAUGGUGGCCCUACAUGCACAUUUCUGACUCAGCCGCCCCCUCUCCACCCGCUGCUUCUCAUCCCAGCUCUGAACCUCUAACCCACCAUAGUUUCUGAGACAGGGACACCAUCCUGACCUGGCAUGAGAUUAGGAACAGCUCAGGCCAUCAGCAUCUUUUGGGGGCAAAAAUAGGUGCAGCUAAAAUCUAUUUAUACAUCCCUGAUGGGCAGGAAGGCGACAGCCAGACCUAAGGAAAGGUUGUUCAAGGAUUCAGCAUGUCAGCAUCCCGGGUACCUGAGCAGGCUGAUGGGAGGUGUGUGCAGGACAGGGAGCCCCAGGCAGGCCCUCUGUCUCAGCUGGGAGGGCAGGAUACUUUUCCUGGCUCUCCUUCACCCAGGCUCUCCUGCUCCUUCCCUCAGGGCCUUCCUUUGCACAAUGGCUGGCAGGCUCAGGAUGCCUCUGAAGCCAGGAAGAGGGGCACUUUGACUAGUCAACCCAGCCUCCUUGACAGAGCCCUAGGCCCAAGCUGACCCCCCGGGGGAUAAUUGGAGCAGCAUUUGAGCAUACUAUUUGGUUACUUUCAUCUCAAGUGCUUGACCCAAAAGACAUCUGGCACAGGCUCAGCUACUCAGUACCCCUUCCUGGGGCGACAUGUCACUGUGACAGUACUGUGCCUCCAUUUCCCCAUGUGUGAAGACAGAAAAUUCUCAAGUGUCUAGCACACACAGGCUUGACCAAGGGAGACCCCCAUGCCCUAGACAGUAGCAGAAAAAAUUUCCUUGUGUGGGCUGAGGAAGGUAGCAUGGCUAGGGUUGGAGGGAGAAAAAGCUCAGGUUUCAGGAUCCAGCAGAUUUGGGUUCCAUUUCUGGAUCUGCCUCUUCCUGUCUAUGUGAUCUUGGGCAAAUACUUACCAUAUCUGAGCCCUGGAAAUAGUAACCAUUCCAAUACUUAAAACAGGUCUCUGAGGUAGAUGCUGUCUCUAGACAUGUCUUAUAAUCGAGAAACUGGGCACAGAGAGAGAAAUUAACUUGCUCCAGGUCACACAGAUGAUAAGUAACAAGAGUCAAGAUUCAAACCUAGAUGGCCUGGCUCUCCUCUUUGCUCCUAACCACUACCCCACACUGCCCUGCUUCCUAUAAAACCUGGAAGAGGAGAGUUCUGAUCCUAGUCCUGCCAGUAAGUUAAGGCACAGGGCCACUUGGACCUUGUAUUGGUGCAUUUUCAUGCUGCUGAUAAAGACAUAGCGGAGACUGGGCAAUUUACAAAAGAAAGAGGUUUAAUGACUUACAGUUCCAUAUGGCUGGGAAUGCCUCACAAUCAUGACAGAAGGCAAGGAGAAGCAAGUCACAACUUACAUGGAUGGUGACAAGCAAAAAAAAACCUUGUACAGAGAAACUCUCAUUUCUUUUUUUUUUUUUUUUUG